rnacentral:hammerhead_ribozyme from 1 species
AUCCAGUUGACGAGUCCAAAAUAGGAUGAAAUGAGCGUUUUGGAU